GGUCCACGCAUCUAACACACAUCUACACAGCAGUGACUACCUCCAAUAUCUUUAUCAAGCUCACGCAUUCCACAGGUAAGAAUCCGAUCAGGUAAGAAUCAGAUCAGGUACGAAUUAGAUCAGGUACGAAUCAAAUCAGGUUAGAAUCAGAUCAGGUACGAAUCAGGUCAGGUAAGAAUCAGGACAGGGAAGAAUCAGAUCAGGUAAGAAUCAGGUCAGGUAAGAAUCAGGUCAAGUAAGAAUCAGAUCAGGUAAGAAUCAGAUCAGGUACGAAUCAGAUCAGGUACGAAUCAGAUCAGGUUAGAAUCAGAUCAGGUACGAAUCAGGUCAGGUAAGAAUCAGGACAGGGAAGAAUCAGAUCAGGUAAGAAUCAGGUCAGGUAAGAAUAAGAUCAGGUACGAAUCAGAUCAGGUACGAAUCAGAUCAGGUACGAAUCAAAUCAGGUUAGAAUCAGAUCAGGUAAGAAUCAGAUCAGGUAAGAAUCAGGUCAGGUAAAAAUCAGAUCAGGUAAGAAUCAGAUCAGGUAAGAAUCAGGUCAGGUAA
ensembl:lncRNA